AGUGGCGGACGGGUGAGUAACGCGUGAGAAUCUGCCUUGGGGUCGGGGACAACCACUGGAAACGGUGGCUAAUACCGGAUAAGCCGAUUGGUGAAAGAUUUAUUGCCCGAAGAGGAGCUCGCGUCUGAUUAGCUAGUUGGUGAGGUAAGAGCUCACCAAGGCAGCGAUCAGUAGCUGGUCUGAGAGGACGAUCAGCCACACUGGGACUGAGACACGGCCCAGACUCCUACGGGAGGCAGCAGUGGGGAAUUUUCCGCAAUGGGCGAAAGCCUGACGGAGCAAGACCGCGUGAGGGAGGAAGGCUCUUGGGUUGUAAACCUCUUUUCUCAGGGAAGAAGCUCUGGCGGUACCUGAGGAAUCAGCCUCGGCUAACUCCGUGCCAGCAGCCACGGUAAUACGGAGGAGGCAAGCGUUAUCCGGAAUUAUUGGGCGUAAAGCGUCCGCAGGUGGCGAUUCAAGUCUGCUGUCAAAGCACGGGGCUUAACUCCGUAAAGGCAGUGGAAACUGAAUAGCUAGAGUGCCGUAGGGGUAGAGGGAAUUCCCGGUGUAGCGGUGAAAUGCGUAGAGAUCGGGAAGAACAUCGGUGGCGAAAGCGCUCUACUGGACGGCAACUGACACUCAGGGACGAAAGCUAGGGGAGCGAAUGGGAUUAGAUACCCC
rnacentral:rRNA from 1 species